rnacentral:rRNA from 1 species
UCUUCUUGGAUGAGUUGCGAACGGGUGAGUAACGCGUAGGUAACCUGCCUUGUAGCGGGGGAUAACUAUUGGAAACGAUAGCUAAUCCCGCAUAACAAUGGAUGACACAUGUCAUUUAUUUGAAAGGGGCAAUUGCUCCACUACAAGAUGGACCUGCGUUGUAUUAGCUAGUAGGUGAGGUAAUGGCUCACCUAGGCGACGAUACAUAGCCGACCUGAGAGGGUGAUCGGCCACACUGGGACUGAGACACGGCCCAGACUCCUACGGGAGGCAGCAGUAGGGAAUCUUCGGCAAUGGGGGCAACCCUGACCGAGCAACGCCGCGUGAGUGAAGAAGGUUUUCGGAUCGUAAAGCUCUGUUGUAAGUCAAGAACGGGUGUGAGAGUGGAAAGUUCACACUGUGACGGUAGCUUACCAGAAAGGGACGGCUAACUACGUGCCAGCAGCCGCGGUAAUACGUAGGUCCCGAGCGUUGUCCGGAUUUAUUGGGCGUAAAGCGAGCGCAGGCGGUUUGAUAAGUCUGAAGUUAAAGGCUGUGGCUCAACCAUAG